GCGCGACCAAUGGGGCCGUGGAAACCCUGAACAGACCCCCGUUGUUGAUGACUUCCACCGUGGACGGCGGCGUCUUUAGCAAUGAAUCUCCGUUUUCUUCGAUUUUAAUCGUCGUUCCCGUCGAAAUCAAGAUGGUGGAGGAGCGUUACAUGGACGGUCAUCGAUUCAUCAAGAUUUGUCCUCGGAAGACGGAUGGCGAUUUAUUUGAGUCAUAGUUCUAUGGAGAAAAUCAGGCGAAUUGAAUCGGACCGGAUGGGUUGCUUUUGGGCAGUUUUUGCUUGCUUGGUAAACCAUUUUUCUGAACAACCCUCAGUUAUAGAUUUAGGUACUUCCCUAUACUGUUCUUUUGACAGAACCGCUUUAUCAUG